rnacentral:rRNA from 1 species
UCGGGCCUGCUCGGUGAAUAAGUUUUUAACAGCUGCGGUAUUUUAACUGUACUAAGGUAGCAUAAUAAUUUGCCUUAUAAUUUGAGGCUAGAAUGAAUGGUUUGACGAAGGUUAAUCUGUCUCUAUCUUAUUUUUUAGAAUUUAAUUUUUAAAGUGAAAAAGCUUAAAUUUUUUAAAGGGACGAGAAGACCCUAAUGAGCUUAUAAUUUUAUUAUUAUUAUUUAAAAUAUUUGAAUAAUAAUAUAUAAAUUUUAAUUGGGGUGAUUAAGGAAUAAUUUUAAUAUAGUAACUUCCUUAAGUUAAAUGUUUAUAGAUAAAGUAACCAAUGAAAUAUUGCUUAUAAUAUAGUUACCAUAGGGAUAACAGCGUAAUUUGUUUAGAGAGUUCUUAUUGAAAAACGAGAUUGCGACCUCGAUGUUGGAUUAAAGUAACCUUAAGGUGCAGAAGCUUUAAUA